CCUAUGGGGCGCAGCAGGCGAGAAAACUUUGCCAUGUGCGAAAGCCCGACAAGGUUAAUCCGAGUGGUUUCUGCUAAAGAAACCCUUUUCCAGUCCUAGAAACACUGGUGAAUUAGGGGUG
rnacentral:rRNA from 1 species